AAGCCCGCUCUGUUCAAGACAGUCACCUGGAGCCACAGGUGCCACCGGGUUUCCUGAGGCAAGAGGGGAGAGCAAAGAGGCCUGCAGAGAAGAGGAUGACGUGGAGGAAGAGGAGGAACUGCUGGACUUGGAUUUGGAGGGAGCUUCGGGUUCCUGGAAAGAUAAAGGAGAAGUUGGCCGGGCGCGGUGGCUCACGCCUGUAAUCCCAGCACUUUGGGAGGCCGAGGCAGGUGGAUCACCUGAGGUCAGGAGUUCAAGACCAGCCUGGCCAACACAGUGGAGCCCUGUUUCUACUAAAAAUACAAAAAUUAGCCGGGUGUUGUGGCGCGCACCUGUAGUCCCAGCUACUGCAGAGGCUGAGGCAGGAGAAUUGCUUGAAAUCGGGAGGUGGAGGCUGCAGUGAGCCAAGAUUGUGCCACUGAACUCCAGCCUGGGCGACAGAGCGAGACUACGUCUCAAAAAAAAAAAAGAUAAAGGAGAAGGUGUCACACCUCCACUGCCUGCUCCCAGGGUCCAGAGCGCCAUGCUGUCCCCAAGGAACACUGGGCACCUUGCAGCCAUCAACUCCUGUGGCUUCCAGACCAGAGAGGCAGUCAGGCCUCCAUGCUGCCUGCUGGGUCAGAAUUCUACAGCGUGUGCUUUAGGGAGUCAGAUCCAACACCGCCUCCCUACCACCCCGUUCUCCCAACUUCAACAGGAGUGAUCUCCUCAAACCUCCUCAAACAAGGCAUCAAUCACUGCCUUGUGGCCACUCCUCAGUCAGCAGAACUCCUGCAGCCCCCACCAUCCUGCUCAAAAGAAAGAUUUUCAAGAUAAUGUAAGGCCAGUGUAGACCAGCCAACAAGAUUCUACAGCAGGGAAUCCUGUUCAUUCAGGAAAUCCUCCUGGAAAGGGCAAGUCCAGCCAGGGGAGCCAGGCGGAGCUGUCAGUGAAACCCCCCACGUCUUGCCAUUGCUUGAACAGCACUCCCUGGCCCUUCAUGCCAGGUGGGCACAUCCACUGCCCUCUCCUCACCACCCCUUGGCCUUGAACAUCUCAAGGAGGCCUAUCUCUUAACCUAAACUUCCUACCUAAAAAUAGAAAUGAUAUCUAGAAUUACAGAAACAAGUCUGGCCCAAUCCGGCCUCAUGGUGCUACUUGGUACUGUAUGCUGCAGGCCAGAGCAAAAUAAAUGUUUCUUUCUUGAGAGAGACAUCACAAUAGGCACAA